GGGUUCGGAGCAGGCUAUUUACGCUCCGGAGGUUUGGGAUGGUCGGGCCGCCAUCU
rnacentral:ncRNA from 2 species